rnacentral:rRNA from 1 species
GAUCAUGGCUCAGGAUGAACGCUAGCUACAGGCUUAACACAUGCAAGUCGAGGGGCAGCAUUGGAGUAGCAAUACUCAGAUGGCGACCGGCGCACGGGUGAGUAACACGUAUCCAACCUGCCGCUUACUCGGGGAUAGCCUUUCGAAAGAAAGAUUAAUACCCGAUGGUAUAAAGAGUUCGCAUGUUCUCUUUAUUAAAGAAUUUCGGUAAGCGAUGGGGAUGCGUUCCAUUAGAUAGUUGGCGGGGUAACGGCCCACCAAGUCUACGAUGGAUAGGGGUCUGAGAGGAAGGUCCCCCACAUUGGAACUGAGACACGGUCCAAACUCCUACGGGAGGCAGCAGUGAGGAAUAUUGGUCAAUGGACGAGAGUCUGAACCAGCCAAAGUAGCGUGAAGGAUGACUGCCCUAUGGGUUGUAAACUUCUUUUAUAAGGGAAUAAAGUGAGGGACGUGUCCCUUUUUGUAUGUACCUUAUGAAUAAGGAUCGGCUAACUCCGUGCCAGCCGCCGC